UACGAAGGGGGCUAGCGUUGUUCGGAAUCACUGGGCGUAAAGCGCACGCAGGCGGAUCGAUAAGUUGGGGGUGAAAGUCCGGGGCUCAACCUCGGAAUUGCCUUCGAUACUGUCGGUCUCGAGUCCGGGAGAGGUGAGUGGAAGUCCUAGUGUAGAGGUGAAAUUCGUAGAUAUUAGGAAGAACACCAGUUGCGAAGGCGGCUCACUGGCCCGGUACUGACGCUCAGGUGCGAAAGCGUGGGGAGCAAACAGG
rnacentral:rRNA from 1 species